UUUAAAAAAAAUAUAAAGAAAUAAUAUAGAAUUCAAAAAUAUAUUAAAAUAAAAAUCUUAAUAAAAUAUUAAAAUAUAACCUUAAUCAAAUCUUACUCAAAUCCUAAUAAAUCUUAACCAAAUCUUAAUCAAAUUCUAACCAAAUCCUAAAUAAAUCCUAGUCAAACCUUAAACAAAUCCUAAUCAAAUCCUAAAAAAAUCUUAGUCAAAUACUAAUAAUAUUAAAUAAAUCCUAGUCAAAUUGUAACAAAUCUUAAUCAAAUCCUAAUCAAAUCUUAACCAAAUCCUAAUCAAACCCUAAAUAAAUCUUUAAAAAAUCUAAAACAAAUCUUAAUCAAAUCUUAAAUAAAUCCUAGUCAAAUCCUAGUCAUAUCUUAAAAAAUUCUAGCCAAAUCCUAAUCAAAUCCUAAAA
rnacentral:lncRNA from 1 species